rnacentral:rRNA from 1 species
GACGAACGCUGGCGGCGUGCCUAAUACAUGCAAGUCGAGCGAAGUUUUUCUGGUGCUUGCACUAGAAAAACUUAGCGGCGAACGGGUGAGUAACACGUAAAGAACCUGCCUCAUAGACUGGGACAACUAUUGGAAACGAUAGCUAAUACCGGAUAACAAUAUUUUUCGCAUGAAAGAUACUUAAAAGUUGGUUAUGCUAACACUAUGAGAUGGCUUUGCGGUGCAUUAGCUAGUUGGUGGGGUAAAGGCCCACCAAGGCGACGAUGCAUAGCCGACCUGAGAGGGUGAUCGGCCACACUGGGACUGAGACACGGCCCAGACUCCUACGGGAGGCAGCAGUAGGGAAUCUUCCGCAAUGGGCGAAAGCCUGACGGAGCAACGCCGCGUGAGUGAAGAAGGAUUUCGGUUCGUAAAGCUCUGUUGUUAGGGAAGAAUGGAUAUGUAGUAACUAUACAUAUAAGAGA